UUUUUUUAUUUCACAUACAAGGGGUUAAUUAUUAAAGGUUUUUUAUGUACCUGAUUGACCUGUUUGUAGUAAAGAGAUGCUGAAGGAGCUGCAGCAGGACUGUAAUCAGAUUCUGGAGAAGAUCAGAGUAAAUGAAGAACAGAGGAAGCAGAUCAGUGCAGAACUUACACUGUGGUUUACUCAGCUGACAAACACCAAAACCAGACUGGAGGAGCUGGAGCAGCAAACCUUCAGACAGGAGCAGAGAAACCGGGAGGAAACUGAAAAACUGAAGAUUGAGCUGAUGAGUGAGAUGAAUGAGGCGGCAGUUCUCAAGGGUAAUAUUUCCUCGAGUUUGGAAGAAUAUAAUCUGCUGAAAGCAGCCAAUCAGAGAGAGGAAGCUGAUCUGAAGGAGGAAUAUGAAGCUGUAUUCUCUGCUGCUGCUCAGCUGGAGAGUGAGGUGCUUCAGCGUAAAGAGAUGCAGACUGAGAAAAGUGUGGCUCUGGAACGUAAACUGAACGACAUUCUGACUAAACGUAAAAUCCUGUCUGAUGAUCUGGAAAAGCAGAAGAGCGUCUGUCUGCAGCAGCUGGAUUCAGAACAGAGAGCCUUCAGUGCUGUUUCAGUGAGCAGUGAACAGACGUCCUGCAGGAUUGAGGAGCUCAGGAUAAGGUCUGAAGAACACAGAGAAGAAUCAGAAAGAAUGGAAGAAAUCAUUACCAGCGUGCCUCAUGAUAUAGAGGAGCUACAGAACACGUACGAGGUGGUGGAGUAUAAGCUUAAAACAGUGAGUGAGAUGAUGAACAGAGUGCAGUGUGAUGUAGAGAACUGCAGAAACAGAAACAGACGUUCUGAGGAAACCUUUUCUACACUUCUCUCCCAGCGGCGGGAUGUUAUGCUGAAUAUUGAGGCUAAUUUGGAGAAAGCUCUAAAAGAGAACGGAGAGCUGGCUCAGGAGUACAGAGCUCUGCAGAAAGCUCUGCUGAUCUCCAGACGAGAAGCUUCCUGCGCUUUACUCCAGAAAAACACAGCUCAGGCCUCUCUCCAUGAUUACAAACAGCUUUCAUUGUUGCAGAGGAGGAUGCAGGAAGACAUGCUGGAAAACUUCGAACACCGCAGCGUCUACAGCCAGGCUGAGCUGGCCCGCUGCCAGGCCCUCUCCAACGAGAACAACCAGAAAAUGAAAGCCCUCCAGGUAUGGGCUGUUUACCACACACACACACACACACACACACACACACACACACUCAAACACACACACACACUCUUUUAAAUACACACAAACACACACACACAAAAGCAGCUAUUUGUGUUAAAGCUAAGAGCACAAUGUGUGUGUAUUCACACACACAACAACAGCCACUUAGCUCAGGCGAAUUAAGGAUGAUUUAGUGUAAGAGAUCCUACUUUUCAAGAUUCAAGAUUUUUAUUGUCACGUCACAGAGUACAGGUAUACAUGUGAGUGAAAAACUUGGGUGCAGAUUCCCACCAAUGUGCAGAGAAUAAUAUUUACAAUAAGAGUAAUAAAAUAAAAUAUAGUAUAAAAU
rnacentral:lncRNA from 1 species